rnacentral:rRNA from 1 species
AUUGAACGCUGGCGGCGUGCCUAACACAUGCAAGUCGAGCGGUAACAGGUGUAGCAAUACAUGCUGACGAGCGGCGGACGGGUGAGUAACGCUUGGGAAUCUGCCUAUUAGUGGGGGACAACCCGGGGAAACUCGGGCUAAUACCGCAUACGCUCUACGGAGGAAAGCCGGGGACCGCAAGGCCUGGCGCUAAUAGAUGAGCCCAAGUCGGAUUAGCUAGUUGGUAGGGGUAAUGGCCUACCAAGGCGACGAUCCGUAACUGGUCUGAGAGGACGACCAGUCACACCGGAACUGAGACACGGUCCGGACUCCUACGGGAGGCAGCAGUGGGGAAUAUUGGACAAUGGGCGAAAGCCUGAUCCAGCGACGCCGCGUGGGUGAAGAAGGCCUGCGGGUUGUAAAGCCCUUUCAGUGGGGAAGAAAAGCCUCGACCUAACACGUCGGGGUCUUGACGUAACCCAUAGAAGAAGCACCGGCUAACUCUGUGCCAGCCGCCGCGGUAAU